CCUACGGGAGGCAGCAGUCGAGAAUCAUUCACAAUGGGGGAAACCCUGAUGGUGCGACGCCGCGUGGGGGAAUGAAGGUCUUCGGAUUGUAAACCCCUGUCAUGUGGGAGCAAAUUAAAAAGAUAGUACCACAAGAGGAAGAGACGGCUAACUCUGUGCCAGCAGCCGCGGUAAUACAGAGGUCUCAAGCGUUGUGCGGAAUCACUGGGCGUAAGGCGUGCGUAGGCUGUUUCGUAAGUCGUGUGUGAAAGGCGCGGGCUCAACCCGCGGACGGCACAUGAUACUGCGAGACUAGAGUAAUGGAGGGGGAACCGGAAUUCUCGGUGUAGCAGUGAAAUGCGUAGAUAUCGAGAGGAACACUCGUGGCGAAGGCGGGUUCCUGGACAUUAACUGACGCUGAGGCACGAAGGCCAGGGGAGCGAAAGGGAUUAGAUACCCUUGUAGUC
rnacentral:rRNA from 1 species